rnacentral:rRNA from 1 species
GACGAACGCUGGCGGUGUGCUUAACACAUGCAAGUUGAACGAUGAAGCCGGAGCUUGCUCUGGUGAAUUAGUGGCGAACGGGUGAGUAACCCGUUAGUACCCUGCCCUUGACUAUGGGAUAACUGCGGGUAACUGUAGCUAAUACAGGAUACGACCCUAGGAGGCACUUCCUGGGGGUGGAAUGCAUUUCGGUCAAGGAUGGACUCGCGGCCUAUCAGCUAGUUGGUGAGGUAAAGGCCCACCAAUACGACGACGGGUAGCCGACCGGAGAGAGUAACAGGCCACACUGGGACUAAGACACGGCCCAGACUCCUACGGGAGGCAGCAGUGGGGAAUAUUGCACAAUCGGCGCAAGCCUGAUGCAGCAACGCCGCGUGAGGGAUGACGGCCUUCGGGUUGUAAACCUCUUUUAGCAGGGAAGAAGCGAAAGUGACGGUACCUGCAGAAAAAGCACCGGCUAACUACGUGCCAGCCGCCGCGGUAA